rnacentral:rRNA from 1 species
UUACCCCUACGGGAGGCAGCAGUGAGGAAUAUUGGUCAAUGGUCGGGAGACUGAACCAGCCAAGCCGCGUGAGGGAUGAAGGUACAGAGUAUCGUAAACCUCUUUUGUCAGGGAACAAAGGCGGGGACGUGUCCCCGGAUGAGUGUACCUGAAGAAAAAGCAUCGGCUAACUCCGUGCCAGCAGCCGCGGUAAUACGUAGGGGGCAAGCGUUGUCCGGAUUUACUGGGUGUAAAGGGAGCGUAGACGGCUGAGCAAGUCUGAAGUGAAAGGCGGGGGCCCAACCCCCGGACUGCUUUGGAAACUG